rnacentral:rRNA from 1 species
CCUGGUAGUGGGGGACAACGUUUCGAAAGGAACGCUAAUACCGCAUACGUCCUACGGGAGAAAGCAGGGGACCUUCGGGCCUUGCGCUAUCAGAUGAGCCUAGGUCGGAUUAGCUAGUUGGUGGGGUAAAGGCUCACCAAGGCGACGAUCCGUAACUGGUCUGAGAGGAUGAUCAGUCACACUGGAACUGAGACACGGUCCAGACUCCUACGGGAGGCAGCAGUGGGGAAUAUUGGACAAUGGGCGAAAGCCUGAUCCAGCCAUGCCGCGUGUGUGAAGAAGGUCUUCGGAUUGUAAAGCACUUUAAGUUGGGAGGAAGGGCAUUAACCUAAUACGUUAGUGUUUUGACGUUACCGACAGAAUAAGCACCGGCUAACUCUGUGCCAGCAGCCGCGGUAAUACAGAGGGUGCAAGCGUUAAUCGGAAUUACUGGGCGUAAAGCGCGCGUAGGUGGUUUGUUAAGUUGGAUGUGAAAUCCCCGGGCUCAACCUGGGAACUGCAUCCAAAACUGGCAAGCUAGAGUAGGGCAGAGGGUGGUGGAAUUUCCUGUGUAGCGGUGAAAUGCGUAGA